UCAGCCUUGAGGGGACCCUUCUCUCGAAGGGAGCACUUUUCCCUGCGGAAACCCUCCUUUUUGAGGGGACUUUUCCCUCCUUUUUUUGAGGGAACCCUCCACCCUGAGAAAGCCUGAGCUCAGCGUGAAGCCUCCUUCUCCUUCGAGAUGGGCAAAUUCACACAAAUCUGAUAGUGAUUCAAUGACAUUCCUCUGGAAACUGCUGGAGAGGUCUUUGCCCACACGAUGGCAUCGCGUGUUUAGGAAGUUCCCCACACUGCGGGCUCCGAGCGGGUUUGGAUUCCUCCGUUUACACACUGUGUGUUAGAGGUAAAUCCUGUGUAAUAAAUUGGUUCAUCCCUUUCCUUUUAACUCUGCGUAUGACUGUGAGGACAAAACUCGGUUCUUGGUGGAAAUUGCUCCCUGGGCUACAUGGCAGGUCCUGGAAAAGGUCUAGUGUGUGUUUGGUUUCCAUCCGUGUUAAUGAACUUCCAGCUGAUGCCCAAGGAGAAAAGUGAAACGUUGCACAAUGAAAAAAAAAAAAGCUUUUUCAUUCAAGUUAACUCUUUCUAAUUUAAUUUGUUUUUAAAGAUUAGUCUUUCUGUGGAUGUAUUGCUUAACAUGCAAUUGGAUAUUUACAUUUGUUUGUUUUACUGGUUGUAUUUCAUAUGUUACCUCUUUCUGUAGGACCUUUUUCAGUCUGGACAUACAAGAUUUUAGAUUCUAGUCUUACUGACAACCAGCCAGCUAAUUCUGAUUGACCAGUGUCAUCUUCACAAAUAAAUUAUGAUUUCAAGACCCUUUUUCUCCAACUACUGAGCUCAGAAUCAGCCCAAAACUACUGAAAGGUACCUGGCCUGGCUUAGCUCCAGUUUAUGCUCUUGUUCAAGCCUUGGCCGUUUGUGACAGAGCUGACUGUGAGCUGUGGGCUUGUUUGCCCUGCCAUCAAUCUAACCCGAGCUUCCUGCUGCUCCUGGAUGCAGUUUUGUCACUUGCCUGUGACAUUAGGCUGUAAACUGCAGGGUCACCAGCUCUUAAAGCCACAAGACACUCACACUAAAUCGCACAGAUUAUGCUCCUGCUGCGGGGGAAUUUCCAGGUCAGAGGCUAACCACCUUUUCAACUCCUGUUCUUUGCACCGAGAGUGUAAAAAGUCAAGCUGGGAACCUGGUGCUUAAGGGCAGCAAUUCGCAGCUCUCCUUAAAUGAGUCGUCACUUCCUCGUGUGUAUUUUCAGCUACUCAGCAGAGCUGGUGGAGUGUCUCGAGUGCUUUGUUGCUACCAGUCAGAAAGAGAGAAUACACUAAGAUGCCUUUUAAGGACAUUCAAGAAUGGACUGAUGUAUAAAAAAGAGGAAAAGCACACAAGAAAGUUCUUUAAGCAAUUGUGGCUAAUUUUGUGAACUGGUGUUAGACGUUUAAUUGCAGAGGGAAAAAAAUCAAAACCACUAAAACCCAAACUAUUUAUUUAAAAGACUAUAUACUUUUGACUUUAAUAAAAUGGAAUAGGUUUGGUUUUAUUAGUUUGCCAAGACCACAGAAAUUUUAGAUGACCUUAGUUCCAGGUAAUCCUCAUUUCAGUUCAAGACUCUCAGUUCAGGUGUGGAGUGUGUCUCUCAGAGUCCAAAGCCUCUGGUUACCUUUCACAGAGCAACCCAGAGCCCAAAACACACACAGUGCAGGUUGUGGGAGCAUCCAGUUGUUGCUGACUGCUCUGUGCUGAGAUCUCUGCUCCAAGAGUAUCCAGGAAAAGGCUUCUGCUGCCGACCAUCUGCAGCUGCUGUCGGUCAGGCAUUGAUCUGACCUCUGAGGGACAGAAAUCCAUUCUGUUCCCUGCCUGGUCUUCAAGGCUUUUUAUCCUGGCAUUUAAAUUGGAUUUUAUUCAAUUUUAUUUAAAUCCACUGUAUCAACACUUAAUGAACAGAAGCCCUCCCACUCUGCUCUGUGGCAUCCCAUUGUAUACCAGCUUUUUGUUCUUGUGUGUGUGCUAUACAUAUUCAUGUCCCUUAAUCUUUCAUGCUAAUGUACAUUUCCCUUUCCUAUUCUUUUUCUCUUCUUAUCAUUAAAUACCUGGAUGAUACUUAAAUGUCAGAAAAGCCCUGAGAAAUGCCACAUACUGGAGAAAAAAUAGUUUUUGUUUAAAAAGCCCUGAGCAUGAGAAUAUCUGCUUUCCAGGCUGAGGGACUAUUCUGGCCAGCUCUGAAAAAAAAGAGAUCUCUUGAGAGAAAAAGAUUUAUGUUGCUGGUGGUGUUUUGAUUUUGAACUUUGAUAUUGAAAUUAGAGGUUCAGAAAUGAAUCCUGUCUUCUCUCUAGCUCAUCUCUGCCCUGACAUGAUAAUGGGUCACUUGGAACAAUCAGCUGGCUUCAUUAAUUAUUAAUCCUAACACAUGGCAAAAGCAAUCUGGAGAUUUGCUGGAUGUGUGGGGGUCUGUUGAUGGAAAUGUAAAGGGGGCAAUUAUCAGUCUGAAAAUAAAUGGGGCUGGCAAGUGCCAAAGAGGAGCGGGAAUCAGGAGGCUUAGGUAUAGCUGGAAGAAUUAAAAGAUAUUUUAUCUUACACUCAGAUUUAUAUCUUAAGUUACAUUAAAGUGAAAACUCCUACAGCAGGGCAUGUAGUUCACAUGAGGAUUGGGUUACUUGGCUGAGCUGUGGUCUCUGCAGAUAUGCAUUUAUAAACCUCCACAAGAAUUGUGAUACUGCUGAGUGCAUAGGAAAAGCAGUGAGCUGUUCACUUUUAGGAACUGAUACCCAGUCGAGCAAGAAUAGAACUCUUAUCCAUGCAUUGUAGUAGCUUCUUGGGCAUUUAUGCUGAGGGGAGCAAACAGAAUCUUGAGACACGGAGUAAGAGCUGCUACAUAACAUGAAUGCUGUUUGGAGGUGACAUUUUAUCUGCACAGACCUCGGUAGUCUGAUGGAUAGCAAUACUCAUCGCCACUGCAGAGAGGGAAAUGGGUGCUUUUGCCCCAAAGUGGGAUACUGUGAGAGAGGUUUUUCCUAUGGCCUCUCCCUCUGCUGCACCAGAACAGGAGCUCAUGUUCUGCUGGUUUCAAAGGGGCUCUCUGUACACUUCCUUUCUGUCAAUAAUGCAUUGAUGAGGUUUGUGCACAAUAACAUCUUACUUGGAUAUCAUAAAGAACCCUUCCUGGGAGAGUGGUGUGUUCCAGCCCCUGCCUGCUCUGUGAUGUCUGCUGCUCUCCUCUGGACAUUGUCUGGAUUCAGCUCCCAGGUGAGCUCUCCCUCCCAACAGCCACAGGCCCCCGUGGCAGUAGAGCCAUCUGUGGCAGCUCCAGACACCUCACCCCAGGUUUUUCCUGCAUUAUCCAGCUCCAGUGGCAAUGGAAGGCAGGGAUAGAAAGGUGAACAACUCCUCCUCUCACCCCUAAAUUGCUGAGGAGGGCUGGCAAACCACAAAGGGCUUUCUCCUGCUUAGGCUGCCACAGCUCAAGCAAUGCCACGGAUUAAUGGAGCUCCAGACUGUCUGAUGGAGUUUUUCCCACAGAGCAAAAUAUUAACUAAGUCAAUUGAUUACAUUUUCAUUUCUUGAGGGAGGUGCAGCCCACACAUCCCAUUGUGUGUGAGCACAGACAGUCUGCUGAAGCAAUACUGUGUUAUCUCACUGGUGCUUUGUGCUGCAUCUCCAGCCCCUGCCUCUGCUGUAAAAGGAAAUGGAAAUUCUUGCUCCCAAGACCUAUCUGACAAAGAAAUAAAUUCUUGUAAAGUCAGUGUCCCAAACUUAGGAAAUUACAGUAUCUGCUGCAGCAAAAUGCUGUGAUAAACCCCCAUCCAUCUGGAAUGUUUCCAUAAUCCACUACAGAUUGCCAAUUAAUUGCAUACUUAGUUCAAUGUAAUAAGGACAGGUAAUAGGCUGUAUUAGUGUAAGUCCCUCAGGGGCAGUGGAAAUACAUCACAAUAUUCGUAAAUAGUGUAUUUUUAUUAAAGCAAUGCCUGCAAGCUUCUGUCUGCUACCAGAAACUGAUUGUGUGGGGAGCUGUACGUGUAAUGAAAGGCCAGAUUUACAGCACACACUCCCAUUAAGUGAAGCACUUAAUUGCUUACUUCAAGUACCAGUUCAAAUAAACUGAUCUCAUCUAUUUUCUAAUUAAAUGUGGGAAAUUAUAGUGUGGCUGGUUGGGACACAAGGUUUUUAAACCCUCUUCAAGAGCAAGAGGAACUGUAAACAGUGUCUUAUGCCAUUAAGAUUAAAAUACGACUGAAAUCACAGAAAGAUCCUUUGAACAAUGGUGUGUGAAAUAUUUAGGAUUUUGCACACAUAAAUAAAUCACUUUUUUUUUCUUUUUGCUAGCUUACGAAGAAUCUUUUGUGUCCAUUUUGGAUUUUGACUAAAAUUCCCAUUAAUUAAACCAAUGACAUAAUGAGAAGUCAUAGCUUUUAAACAAACACAUAUAAUUCUUUUUAUUUGGAUGAAUUGAUGUUUUUUUCUGUGCUCCACUGAACAUAAUAUCCAUGAUGACCUUUUUCUGCUCACAGGAGAUCUAAUAUUUUACAGCAAUGUUUCUGGGAAGCAACUUGGUAAACAGCAAUUGUUAACCAGAGGAUAAAAAAAUGGGAAAAUUGGUUUGGAAAUCAAGUCAAAUUGCUACAGGAUUAUUAGGGUCUAAGGAAUUAUACAUCUUUAUUUCAUUUAUUGCUGCACUUAGUUAAUCUUGCAUAUCUGUGACAACCACAAGAGAGUUGUGUGCAUUCUCAGUUUUAAAUUUUCUGAGCAUUUUGUGUGUGUGUUGUAUAACUGCAACAUUUUAGUACCCAAAUACUAUAGCUCUGUACCUGCAUGUGAAAUCACUGCUGUAGAACCAGAGAUGGAUACAGUGUUCAUUUUAAAUGGAGUUACCUCAGGAAAGUCUUGGAUUGCUCUGGAAUGCCUGUGCCUGUUACCUGUCCCAAAAACUACCUGACGGUUUUCAUGUUGAUUUUUAACACGUUCUCCUGUGAAUUUUUCAGAAAUGAGAAAGCUGAGCACAUUUAGAACAGUUUGCUGCUAUCAAGAACCAUUUUGUCUUUGCUGUUUCCUUCUCCUCAGGUUGUCACAUGACUGAUGAAGCAAAAAUUCACUCAUGAGCCACUGCUUGUAAGAAGAGACAGGAUGAAGCUGAGCCUCCCUGCCUCUUCAUGUAUUAUACAUGUAAAAGUCAUGAUAAUUUCAUAGGAUUUCACACUCUAAAAAUAACGUCCCCAUGACCCAGGGCCCGUGGAUCUUCCUCGUAGCAGGCACUACAUGAAUUAAUCACUCAGCUCCACUUUUGUGCCAUAGACUCAGUUUAGCCAAUUCCCAGGAGUGCCAGGCAUUGCAUUUGCUGGUUCUGUUAUUUAUUAGCCCUGGAAACAUGAAGCACUCAUGUCCACAGGGAGGGUCAGCUUCCAUUUAGCCUCCCCCAAGCACAGACAUUAUUAUUUUAGCAUAAUUUAGCUUUGUUAUGCUGCUAGGGAGAAAUUACUUCAGUAGAUUACAACUAGAUGGAUGUUUUCCUCUCUUAAAUGCAAAGGGUUUUUUGCUGUUCUCAAAGGGGUUUUAUACUAUCAAACUAGAGAAUCUCAUUCCUGUAAUCUAAUCAAAGAUGUUAAUAUGGAGAGCAGUGGUUACUAACCAAAUAGAAAUCUGCCACUGUCUCUUUUCAGUCCUGAUAAGACUCUUUCUUUUUAGCUGAAAACCAUCUGGGAAGCAUCUGUGUCACGUGCAGGCACUUGCCUGCCUUGAUAAAAGGUUGAGAAAAUACUGAUUAGAGCCAUUUGAUCUGGCUUGGAAUUAAAGUGCCUAUAGAAACUCCCUCCCACAGUGCAAGAUGAAACUACUGGUAACAUGUAACAGAUCUCAGGAAGCUUCUUACACCUUCAAAUAGGAGGGCAAGGCUUCCUGAAUCUAAAAUCUGAAUUUUACAACAGAAUUCCACCACAGUUUCUCUGUGUUAGAGAUAACUUGUUCCUAGAUAGUAUUUUUUUAAUUAACAAAAACUUUUCUGUUUUGCUGGCCCAACUGAGCAAUAAUAAGAGCUGACAAACCUUUUGUGUGUGCGUGGAGAUCUGCUCUGUAUUUAACAAACAGCACUCUUCUCCCCCCAGCUCUGCAAACACACACUUGUAAAUCUGAAUCAAAACCCAUUCAGGACAUUUCAUCUUAAGUGGUUUCAUCUUAGUGUAAUUACCAAGUCAUGUGAGGAGCAGCAAACAAUUGUCUGCACAACAAUGGAGAUGAAAUAAAGAUAGCCUCUAAUUAAUUCCAUCGAGGUUAUAAUUAAUUUUGACUGAGUUGCUCAGGACAAUAUCCUUAAGUCUCACAGGCUGCUCUAAAAGGGGGCUGAUCAGCAGCUGCUGCUCUUUGAUUUUCAGAGCAGAUGGGGCUAUUUCCAGCUAGUGCUUAAAAGGAAAUGAUGAGGAGGAGGGUGGGGAGUGAUUGAUUGGCUUUGAGCAGACCUUGGGGUGAGAGUGCUGGAGGAAAUGCUCUGGCUGAGAAGUAGACUCUGAUAAGGAUUGUUCCAUGCUGGCAAAAUCUCCCAUGGAAAGUCCAAGAGAAAAUUCAAGGAAGAUCUGCAGUUUGCAGAGUUUUGCAUUGCUUGCUUCUGGUUUAUUCAGUUUCCCGUUAGGCUUGAAAAGGAACUUAGCCUGAUCUUGAAAUGCAGAAGUAGAGAGAAGUAGAGAGCCCACACCCUGUUCAUGCUUACUCUGCUCUUUGCAAUCAGUGUUGGUUAGUUCCCUCUUGGACACAGAAGAUGAGACCAGGAUGCUGUUUCAAGUUGCAGACACUGAAACCAAAGGCCUUUUUAUGGUGUGCCACUUCUGUCUCCUUUGUCCACUUGAAACAGGUUUUUCCAAUGUAAGAAGCUUACUUAACCCAGGGUUUAAGGCUAUUUUUAUCCAGUGUGAAAUGUGCAUGUAAAGAAAGCCUUUGGAGGUAGAGGACAGCACUGUUUACUUUUCCUCAAGGUCUCCUUUAUGCUUCAGAAAGAUAUAUCUACUCUCUGGAAAACUUAGAUAAUAUUCAGAUGUCCUGCACACUGAUAUUGCUUGGGUCAGUUCUUUGAGGGGUGAAGCAGCAGAUAAAUUUGCAAAAUUCCACUGGUGCAGUAAUUCAAAUGAACUGUAAUGUCAUUGCUUUGCAUGGUCCUGAUUUCUACAGAGAUUCUGGAUUCUUAUCUCUGAGGUCUUACUGACUCCUAUCAAAUAGAUGUGGAAUUUUUUUCCUUCCCUGCAUUAAUUGACUACUGCUCUUGUGCUGCUUGCAGUAAUAAAUAAGGGCCCUCCUGUGUUCACCUCAUUUUAGCUACUAAAAUUGCCACUAAUUCAUUAUAUAUUCAGGAAGGAUCUUUUUAAUCCACAGCUCCUUAGCACAGCUUGGGGGUCAGCACAUCCCUUUGUGCUGCUGCUCCCCAGCAUGCCUUGGAGGUGUUUGUGUAGCUGCCAACUGGUGGGGUCAAGGUUCCAGAAUGUAAAAUACUGGUGCAGAGAUGACAGCCAGGAUUCCACAGACUUUCCCAGAGCAGCCAUGGCCCUGUCACAGCGCAGUUUCACUCCACCUUAAAUGCAAAAGCCUGUCUGUAACCAUUGUGAGCUUUUAAUCGCUCCAAUUACCCUGCUUUCCCCAUGCUGACAGCUGGCAUGCACACCAGUCCCUUGGUAAGGCUUCCAGGAGAGGUGCAUUUCUAUUUUUCAGUCCAGUAUAUGACCACAGCACCAAGCACAGCCCCAACAACACCCAGCAAUUUGCUCAGCUGGAGUUUUCUGAUUUUUCACAGAAGAUGCUUAACGUAGAAACUAUUAUAAUGAGCAAGAUCACUGCCCUUGCAGAGGAUGCAGCAACACAGAGCAAACUGAAUCCAGGGGAUAAUUAAAAUAAAUAAAAUUAAUGAUGCCAGAAUUAUCAUUAACAGUUUGGUUUAAAAAGCUGGAGGUAGCUGGAGGUUUAGCAACACAUAUUUGCCUUUUGAUUCAAAAGUUAGUAAACUCUAUGGUACCAGAUUAAACAUGUAAAUACAUAGAAGAAAACAUACUCUGCCAUGCAUAGAAGCCAUAUUGUCAUGGAAUAGUCUGAGUUGGGACUCACAAGGAUCAUGAGUCCAACCCUUGGGUACUCAGCUUUGUUCCUUUGCAGCCUCUCCUGAAUGGCUACUCUGUGCUGACUUGCCCAGCAAGAUUAUAAUGGGGUUUUUUUUGGCUAAUGGAGGAGGUGGACUCUUUCCUCUUUCUCUUAUCAUGAGAAGUCCUGCCAGGUUCACUGAGAGUGUUCCUUCUCAAGUACCUGAUGAACAAAGAGGCAAAACAAUCCCAGCAAUCAUAACCUGCCUCUUUAACACCUAAAUCCCACCUGCAGAUCCUGUCACUCUUACACAAACUGAGCCCCUGAAGGAGGGCUAUGGAUUUCACCCUCUGGGAGGCCUCUCAUGUCUUGGGAUGGGCCAAAGAUGGAGUAACUUGCCAAAGACCAGAGCUAGACGUGUGUUUUUGUCUUAGCAGCAAUGCCAUCUCAUGCUACUCUCUAAGUGACCAUCCAGCAUCCUGAACUGUGGGACUGGUUAGGCUGAGCAUUUGCUUUCUAAAGAAAAAAAAUGGGGAGUUGUUGGUUUUUUUGUUUCCUUGGGGGUUUUCCCCUGUAUGUCCUGCUCCUGUCCUUCACUUGGCAUAUCCAAAGUCUGACAGAUACUUGUGGCUCAGGGAAGGAGAUGGUUCUAGGUCAUGCUUAGCAGUUGGUUCUUGCUACUGUGUUAUACAAGACCUUACAAAUACUGCAAUGUCACCAAAUUUCCAGGUGUUCUUCAGAAAUAUGUUCUCUGGAAAACCUCUCCAAAAAGCACUGAGUUGAGAGCUCCCACUUCAAACACCCUGUCAAAAUUGGAUGUAAAAACCCUAUUUGAAAGGAAACAAUUGAAUUCAUUUGCCAAUCUGGCCCAUUAACAGAAAUUAUUUAUGCUCCAAAAGCAGCUGCACUGCAAAGUUUUCCAAUGUUUAACAGACAGCUGCUUCUCCUCUGUGCUGAGCUGGAGCUGUGGCUGCUGGUUCCUUCUCCAGUGAUAGAAAGGCUGGCAGAAAUCUUGGCUUCAGCUCCCUUACAAAUAACAGUGAAACCAAGAGCCAGGAAAUGUGGGCACAAAUGUCCUGGAGGGAGCUGUCUCAUGGCUGUGGUUUUACACCCACCUCCCAUCUCUCCUGCUGUAGCAGUUUGUUUAAAAGCUGCAGAAUAAAAGUUGCCAUGGGAUCUCUCUCCAUCUGUACCAGUGCAGAGCUGCAUGCUUUCUUUUGUGUUUGACUCCACAGCAGCUGCCUGCAGGGCUGGGUGCUCACCCUCCGUGUGUCCCUGCAGCUCCAGGUCCUCUCUGGAAAUCCAGUGUGCUUCAGUGAGCAACUGGGUGCAGGCUCUCAGCUCACUGCAGAAUAACCUUGGUGUGUUGUGGGAAAGGAGGAGAAAUUUAGGAUUUACCCUCUCCAUCCAUAAAUCAGUCCUGUUGUCCAAAGUAACUUCAACCUCUCCGUGAUUUAGGUGUGUGAGGAUCUAAAUCCCAGGUUUGCUGUAGCCUCAAUGUCCCCAGCCAAACCACUCCAUGCCUUUGCCCAGCAGCCCCUGUCCCUCUCCAGUCAGGAGGUGGCUGAGCCUUGGGAACAGCUUUUGAAAUGAGAAUUUGUUUUCAAAAGACAAAUUUUAAUUACAUAAAAUUAAAAGUCAUGUUUUAAUUGUACUAAUUCUUCCCCAAAGUGGAUGUGGCAGCUGCUGGUUGAUGUUUCAGCAAAUGGAGGUACCCAAGCAGCCCCAGAGAGGGCACAAACCCUGUUCACUUGUGUGUGCCUUCAGCUCUACCUUUACUCAGACAGGCUCAGAAUUGCUUUGGCAACCCCAGCCACAAACUGCAAAGGAUUCAUCCUAAAACCUUAUAAGGCUCAUGCUUUAAGGGCUUUUCUCCCUCUUUCUUAUUUUCUCCAUCCCAGAAAUCAGUUCUGAACAGAUGGGCCUACGGCAGCUUUAUCAGGGACCCUUUGCUCCCUGAUUUCUGAGCCUGAGCUAACACAGCUGCUCUUGGAGGCAGUGGGAAUAUCAGG